rnacentral:tRNA from 1 species
GAGGCUCAGUGGUUAAGAGCACUGACGUUUUUUCAGAGGACCUGGGUUCAAAUCCCAGC